GAUGGGGCACAGCGAUGGGUGCUGGGGCCGUAGAUACAAUAAUAGCUCACACUGGUUUAGCACUUCCCAUGUGCCAGGAGCUGUUCUACGUGCUUCUUGUGGGUUACAUCACUUAAUGAAACACUCACAUCUCUAUGAAAUAGCUUCUAUUAUUAUCCCCUUUUGUGCAGGAGGAAACAGGCUCAGAGCAGACACAGAGCUUGAUGAAGUUACAUAGCCACGAAGUGACGGGGUCUGACCAUCAAACCAGAGCCUGCAGUCCUAACCACCACACUGCACUCUCCCUCUGGCUUAGUUUCCAAGAUGGACAAGAUACAGCCCUGGCGGUCCAAGGGCACAGAGCAUCAGAAGGACACAGAGCUGCUGUUCAGGGCCACUUCCUGCAGGAAGCUCUCCCUGAAUUCUUCUGCCAUCCCUUCUCAAGACUUGCAGUGCUGGGUAUGCAACCAACGUGUAAACGCUUCCCUGGUGCCAAGAAUUGGUAGGUCUUUCUCUGUUUUCCAUUGUUCCUCUUUCUACCUGGACAACAAACUCAUCUCUUCAACACACACUCAUUCAGCUCUCACUGUAUGCCUUAGACUGUGCUAGACCGGAGGCCUUCAAGAGUAAACAGACAGAGACGGAGGAGCUUAUAGUCUAGUGCGGGGAUCAGCAGUCUACUGCCCCUGGGCUGAAUCCAGCCCUUCCUGUUUUUAUAAAUAAAACUUU
rnacentral:lncRNA from 1 species